GGGGUUGUAACUCAGUGGCACAGUGCCUGCCUGGCAAGUGAGAAGCCCUGAGUUUAAAUCCUGGUACCCCCA
rnacentral:tRNA from 1 species